GUAGUUAACUGUCAGAGCAAAAGCAGAGUUAUUCUCAAGUUUAAUGGUUCUUUUUGUAUUCAUAUGCUUCUUCACUGUUAACAUUGCUAGCACACAGUCCAGGGAAAAGGAAAUCAAAAGAUCCAGGCCAAAUUGCCACUCUGCAGUUUUUAUUGUUCAUAAACAAGGUUGAUGGUUUAUUUUAAUAUUACCAGUUGAGUUUUGAAUUUUUUCCAAUUUCGACGGUUUUAUAUGCAUUGCGUUUAAAUGCUUGGGUUGAUGGGUUAUUUCAAUAUUCAAACUUACCACAUCCAGUGUCUGUUUUGUAGCAUUUAUUUUCCAUUUUACAAUCGGACUUUGUUUAACAUCUGUGUAUUAAUGAAUGGAAUAAACCUUUUGACAUU
rnacentral:misc_RNA from 1 species